UACGUAGGGUCCGAGCGUUGUCCGGAAUUAUUGGGCGUAAAGAGCUCGUAGGCGGUCUGUCACGUCGGCUGUGAAAACACGGGGCUCAACUCCGUGCCUGCAGUCGAUACGGGCAGACUAGAGUUCGGUAGGGGAGACUGGAAUUCCUGGUGUAGCGGUGAAAUGCGUAGAUAUCAGGAGGAACACCGGUGGCGAAGGCGGGUCUCUGGGCCGAAACUGACGCUGAGGAGCGAAAGCGUGGGGAUCAAGCAGG
rnacentral:rRNA from 1 species